AACUGGGAUUAGAUACCCCACUAUGCCAAGUCGUAAAAAAUUAACUCACACUAACCGCGCCAGGGGAUUACGAGCUCUAGCUUAAAACCCAAAGGACUUGACGGUGUCCCACCCAACUAGAGGAGCCUGUUCUAUAAUCGAUGAUCCACGAUACACCUAACCAUUUUUUGCUUUUCAGCCUGUAUACCUCCGUCGUAAGCUUACCGUAUGAACGCAUAAACAGUAAGUUCAAGGGCCACAACACGCCAAUACGUCAGGUCAAGGUGCAGCUUACAAAAUGGAAGGUAUGGGCUACAAUUUCUAAGCUAGAACAAACGAAAUACUAUAUGAAACAUAGUCAUGAAGGCGGAUUUAGCAGUAAGUAGGGAAUAGAGAGCCCCACUAAACUCGGCCCUGGGAUGUGUACACACCGCCCGUCACCCUCUGCAGUCAAAAAU
rnacentral:rRNA from 1 species